rnacentral:rRNA from 1 species
GUACACACCGCCCCGUCGCUACUACCGAUUGAAUGGCUUAGUGAGGCCUCCGGAUUGGAGCCAGGUGCCCAGCAAUGGGUCCUUGGCAUCGAGAAGUUGGUCAAACUUGGUCAUUUAGAGGAAGUAAAAGUCGUAACAAGGUAUCCGUAGGUGAACCUGCAGAAGGAUCA